rnacentral:rRNA from 1 species
GACGAACGCUGGCGGCGUGCUUAACACAUGCAAGUCGAACGCUGAAGCUCAGCUUUUGUUGGGUGGAUGAGUGGCGAACGGGUGAGUAACACGUGAGUAACCUGCCCCCUUCUUUGGGAUAACGCCCGGAAACGGGUGCUAAUACUGGAUAUUCACUGGUCUUCGCAUGGGGGUUGGUGGAAAGGGUUUUUCUGGUGGGGGAUGGGCUCGCGGCCUAUCAGCUUGUUGGUGGGGUGAUGGCCUACCAAGGCUUUGACGGGUAGCCGGCCUGAGAGGGUGACCGGUCACAUUGGGACUGAGAUACGGCCCAGACUCCUACGGGAGGCAGCAGUGGGGAAUAUUGCACAAUGGGCGCAGGCCUGAUGCAGCGACGCCGCGUGAGGGAUGGAGGCCUUCGGGUUGUGAACCUCUUUCGCUCAUGGUCAAGCCGCAACAAUGGUUGUGGUGAGGGUAGUGGGUAAAGAAGCGCCGGCUAACUACGUG